AUCUCCAGAUGAGGAAAAUGACAAGGAGGAUAAUGAAGAGGCCAAAGAUCAAUGGGAAGGCACUAGAGGUCCCUGGUGUUAUUUCCAUAUCUGACAGAAGCACAACAGGAAAGGGAAGGAAAGACAACCAGAGACAAGGGACAAAAACCAUCAUCCUAGCUCCCCAAACUGCCCUGUUGAGAAUACGUCAGGACAUUCCAGCAAGAGGGCAAGCAUAUGUGGAUCUAACUUCUGAGAAGACAAAGAAUGCCUGUCGAUUGUAAAGUAAGAUACAAAAGCACAUGUUAUAGGCCAGAACAGAGUGGCAUGGUAUGAUAUAUUCCAAGUGCUGAAGGAAAAAGAAAAAAACUUCCAACCAAGAAUACUCUCCCCAGCUAAGUAAUCAUCCAGAGUUGAAAGAGAGAUUCCACAGAUCCUGAGCCCCUGGGCUUUCCCCUGAAUGGGACAGAAUUGAGAAACAUGCCUUAUGAGACAUUCCUGCCACCAAAAGAAAAGCUGACUGGGUUAUUGAGGCCUCUACUGAGGAAGAGGAAGAAGGAAGAAAGGCAGAGGGUUCAGGAGCCACCAAUAUUUGUACCAGGGCCGUCCCUCUCCUUACUUGGAUAUUUAUUCUUCGCACCAUGCCCAUCCUUCCACCACAGCGAUCACUGACUGCUAAGCCUCACAGAGAAUGGAAAACAUUAAGAUGAGAAUCAGCUCCUGCUGCCCCAAGUUGGCAAAGUCCAAUGGGUUUAUCAUUCUCAUCACUAUAGUGACCCAAAUGACCUCUUCUUCAUCUCCAACCUUGAAUGGGGCCCCCUUUGACCCUGAGUCCAGAGAAUUUUUUUUUUUUUUAAGGGCCACACCUGCGACAUAUGGAAGU